rnacentral:rRNA from 1 species
UACGGGGGGAGCAAGCGUUGUUCGGAUUUACUGGGCGUAAAGGGCGCGUAGGCGGCGUAACAAGUCACUUGUGAAAUCUCCGGGCUUAACCCGGAGCGGCCAAGUGAUACUGUUGUGCUAGAGUGCGGAAGGGGCUACUGGAAUUCCUGGUGUAGCGGUGAAAUGCGCAGAUAUCAGGAGGAACACCGAUGGCGAAGGCAGCUCGCUGGGACGGUACUGACGCUGAGACGCGAAAGCGUGGGGAGCAAACAGG